rnacentral:rRNA from 1 species
AUGAACGCUAGCUACAGGCUUAACACAUGCAAGUCGAGGGGCAGCAUGGUCUUAGCUUGCUAAGGCCGAUGGCGACCGGCGCACGGGUGAGUAACACGUAUCCAACCUGCCGUCUACUCUUGGACAGCCUUCUGAAAGGAAGAUUAAUACAAGAUGGCAUCAUGAGUCCGCAUGUUCACAUGAUUAAAGGUAUUCCGGUAGACGAUGGGGAUGCGUUCCAUUAGAUAGUAGGCGGGGUAACGGCCCACCUAGUCUUCGAUGGAUAGGGGUUCUGAGAGGAAGGUCCCCCACAUUGGAACUGAGACACGGUCCAAACUCCUACGGGAGGCAGCAGUGAGGAAUAUUGGUCAAUGGGCGAGAGCCUGAACCAGCCAAGUAGCGUGAAGGAUGACUGCCCUAUGGGUUGUAAACUUCUUUUAUAAAGGAAUAAAGUCGGGUAUGGAUACCCGUUUGCAUGUACUUUAUGAAUAAGGAUCGGCUAACUCCGUGCCAGCAGCCGCGGUAAUACGGAGGAUCCGAGCGUUAUCCGGAUUUAUUGGGUUUAAAGGGAGCGUAGAUGGAUGUUUAAGUCAGUUGUGAAAGUUUGCGGCUCAACCGUAAAAUUGCAGUUGAUACUGGAUAUCUUGAGUGCAGUUGAGGCAGGCGGAAUUCGUGGUGUAGCGGUGAAAUGCUUAGAUAUCACGAAGAACUCCGAUUGCGAAGGCAGCCUGCUAAGCUGCAACUGACAUUGAGGCUCGAAAGUGUGGGUAUCAAACAGGAUUAGAUACCCUGGUAGUCCACACGGUAAACGAUGAAUACUCGCUGUUUGCGAUAUACAGCAAGCGGCCAAGCGAAAGCGUUAAGUAUUCCACCUGGGGAGUACGCCGGCAACGGUGAAACUCAAAGGAAUUGACGGGGGCCCGCACAAGCGGAGGAACAUGUGGUUUAAUUCGAUGAUACGCGAGGAACCUUACCCGGGCUUGAAUUGCAGAGGAAGGAUUUGGAGACAAUGACGCCCUUCGGGGCCUCUGUGAAGGUGCUGCAUGGUUGUCGUCAGCUCGUGCCGUGAGGUGUCGGCUUAAGUGCCAUAACGAGCGCAACCCUUGUUGUCAGUUACUAACAGGUUCCGCUGAGGACUCUGACAAGACUGCCAUCGUAAGAUGUGAGGAAGGUGGGGAUGACGUCAAAUCAGCACGGCCCUUACGUCCGGGGCUACACACGUGUUACAAUGGGGGGUACAGAGGGCCGCUACCACGCGAGUGGAUGCCAAUCCCCAAAACCUCUCUCAGUUCGGACUGGAGUCUGCAACCCGACUCCACGAAGCUGGAUUCGCUAGUAAUCGCGCAUCAGCCACGGCGCGGUGAAUACGUUCCCGGGCCUUGUACACACCGCCCGUCAAGCCAUGGGAGCCGGGGGUACCUGAAGUGCGUAACCGCGAGGAGCGCCCUAGGGUAAAACUGGUGACUGGGGCU